rnacentral:sRNA from 1 species
CAGGGAGCCAUCAGGAAGGGUGCUGGGGCCCGGGGCCCGUCGUGCUGUGUGUGUGCAAACUCAAUGUGGCGUCCCCUGAUCAGGAGUGGGAGCUGCGCGCUGCCCGGUUCCAGGUUAAUGGAACGCAGGAAGCUGCACGGCUACUUGGAGAAUGAGCCGCUGAUGUUGCAGCUUUUCAUUGGGACGGCGGACGACCGCCUGCUGCGCCCGCACGCCUUCUACCAGGUGCACCGCAUCACAGGGAAGACCGUGUCCACCACCAGCCACGAGGCCAUCCUCUCCAACACCAAAGUCCUGGAGAUCCCACUCCUGCCGGAGAACAGCAUGCGAGCCGUCAUUGACUGUGCCGGAAUCCUGAAACUCAGAAACUCCGACAUUGAACUUCGGAAAGGAGAGACGGACAUCGGGAGGAAGAACACACGGGUACGGCUGGUGUUCCGCGUUCACGUC